CUGUGCCUACGGGGCGCAGCAGUGAGGAAUAUUGGUCAAUGGUCGGGAGACUGAACCAGCCAAGCCGCGUGAGGGAGGUAGGUACAGAGUAUCGUAAACCUCUUUUGUCAGGGAACAAAGGCGGGGAAGUGUCCCCGGAUGAGUGUACCUGAAGAAAAAGCAUCGGCUAACUCCGUGCCAGCAGGCGCGGUAAUACGGAGGAUGCGAGCGUUAUCCGGAUUUAUUGGGUUUAAAGGGUGGGCAGGCGGUCUGUUAAGUCAGCGGUCAAAGCCCGGGGCUCAACCCCGGCACGCCG
rnacentral:rRNA from 1 species